UACGAAGGGGGCGAGCGUUGUUCGGAAUUACUGGGCGUAAAGGGCGCGCAGGCGGCUCUGAAAGUCAGAUGUGAAAGCCCCCGGGCUUAACCUGGGAAUUGCAUUUGAUACUCUGGAGCUUGAGUACGGGAGAGGAGAGUGGAAUUCCCAGUGUAGAGGUGAAAUUCGUAGAUAUUGGGAAGAACACCGGUGGACGAAGGCGGCUCUCUGGACCGUAACUGACGCUGAGGCGCGAAAGCGUGGGGAGCAACAGG
rnacentral:rRNA from 1 species